ensembl:snRNA U7 U7 small nuclear RNA
UAGUGUUACAGCUCUUUUAGAAUUUGUUUAUCAGGCCUUCAGGUUUUUUUUUUUUUUUUCUGGAAAGCCCCU